UACAGAGGUGGCAAGCGUUGUUCGGAAUUACUGGGCGUAAAGGGCGCGUAGGCGGCCAUCUAAGUCAGACGUGAAAUCCCCCGGCUUAACCUGGGAACUGCGUCUGAUACUGGACGGCUUGAGUGUGGCAGAGGGGGGUGGAAUUCCGCGUGUAGCAGUGAAAUGCGUAGAGAUGCGGAGGAACACCGAUGGCGAAGGCAGCCCCCUGGGCUGAGAUUGACGCUCAGGCACGAAAGCGUGGGGAGCAAACAGG
rnacentral:rRNA from 1 species